CCUACGUGCGGCAGCAGUGGGGAAUAUUGCGCAAUGGGCGAAAGCCUGACGCAGCGACGCCGCGUGAGGGAUGAAGGUCUUCGGAUCGUAAACCUCUGUCAGCAGGGAAGAACGGUCACUGUGCUAAUCAGCAGUGAAUUGACGGUACCUGCAAAGGAAGCACCGGCUAACUCCGUGCCAGCAGCCGCGGUAAUACGGAGGGUGCGAGCGUUAAUCGGAAUUACUGGGCGUAAAGCGCUCGUAGGCGGUAUGUCAAGUCAAGGGUGAAAUCCCCGCGCUCAACGGGGGAACUGCCUUUGAAACUGGCAAACUGGAGUGUGUGAGAGGAUAGUGGAAUUCCAGGUGUAGGAGUGAAAUCCGUAGAUAUCUGGAGGAACAUCAGUGGCGAAGGCGACUAUCUGGCACAUAACUGACGCUGAGGAGCGAAAGCGUGGGUAGCAAACAGGAUUAGAUACCCCAGUAGUC
rnacentral:rRNA from 1 species